GAUACUAGAACCUUCAUCCUUCAUUCUUUAAUGCAAUUUUUUUUCUUUCUUUACUUUCCACCAUCACUUUUCUUCCUUGUUCAUUUUUUUCUUCCAACCAUGGCUUUCCUCCAUAGACAACCAUGCAUCAAGUCUUUCCUCCCCUCUUCUUCCAUGCUUCUUUCUUUUCUCCUUCCUCCUCAUGAAUUGUCUUCCCUUUUCCCUCCCCCAUAACCGAACCUAAGAAGGAUUUCGUGAUUUGGCUUAAAAUUCCAAGGAUUUGGCAGGUUCACUCGCAAGUCUCAAACGUUGGUAGCGAUCGGGGGAAGAGGUCAUUACAUAGACGCUUAGAGAGCAUCAAUUAUAUCAUACGUUUAAGAAGUGUGAGUUUUGACAAAAUAAAGCUAGUUUAUUAAGACACGUUGUGACUAAGCAAAAGGUGCAAGUCAAUUUUACAAAGAUAGAAGAUAUGGGUCAACGGUUGUAAUGGAAAUUAAAAGUUUUCUGGCUUUAGCCAGGUAUUACAGAUGUUUUGUCAA